GAUGAACGCUGGCGGCGUGCCUAAUACAUGCAAGUCGAGCGAACAGAUGAGGAGCUUGCUCCUUUGACGUUAGCGGCGGACGGGUGAGUAACACGUGGAUAACCUACCUAUAAGACUGGGAUAACUUCGGGAAACCGGAGCUAAUACCGGAUAACAUUUUGAACCGCAUGGUUCAAUAGUGAAAGGCGGUCUUGCUGUCACUUAUAGAUGGAUCCGCGCUGCAUUAGCUAGUUGGUAAGGUAACGGCUUACCAAGGCAACGAUGCGUAGCCGACCUGAGAGGGUGAUCGGCCACACUGGAACUGAGACACGGUCCAGACUCCUACGGGAGGCAGCAGUAGGGAAUCUUCCGCAAUGGGCGAAAGCCUGACGGAGCAACGCCGCGUGAGUGAUGAAGGUCUUCGGAUCGUAAAACUCUGUUAUCAGGGAAGAACAAAUGUGUAAGUAACUGUGCACAUCUUGACGGUACCUGAUCAGAAAGCCACGGCUAACUACGUG
rnacentral:rRNA from 1 species